rnacentral:rRNA from 1 species
GACGAACGCUGGCGGCGUGCCUAAUACAUGCAAGUCGAACGCAGUCGGGACGGGUGAGUAACACCUGGGUAACCUCCCAUCAGAGGGGAUAACACUUGGAAACUGGUGCUUAACCGAUAUUGAUGUAUGGACCCGCGGUGCAUUAGCUAGUUGGUGAGGUAACGGCUUCCCAAGGCCACGAUGCAUAGCAGACCUGAGAGGUUGAUCGGCCACACUGGGACUGAGACACGGCCCAGAACCCUACGGGAGGCAGCAGUGGGGAAUAGUGCACAAUGGGCGCAAGCCUGAUGCAGCGAUGCCGCGUGUAUGAAGAAGGCCUUAGGGUUGUAAAGUACUUUCAGCGGGGAGGCGUUACCCGCAGAAGAAGCACCGGCUAACUCCGUGCCAGCAGCAGCGGGAAUAC